CCCCAAACCUCGUUCUCUUCCCAGGGCACUGGGUCCACGCUGGAGCAUCCCAGAGCUGAUCAAUCCCUCUGGAAGCAGGGACACCCCUGGCUCCAUAGGAUUCCAUUUUGCUGAACUACUGGUUCAGAAACACAAGAGCCUGAAAUCUAUGGGAACACAGAGCCAGAAAACCCAGGCACAGACCAGGACAUCUCCAAGGUAUUUCCAGCAGGUAUCUGCUAGACGCGUUCUCUCUGCCAGCCCGCUGCCUUGCUAGCUGUGGAGCAACUGCAGUACGUGCCCGUCCCUGUCACCAGGGGCUGGCCAUCAACAGAAGCUGCUCCUUCCAAGCCGGCCACGCGUCUACUACUUCAUCAUCCUCUCGGGGGAUAAAAAUCCCUGGAGCAAACCCUCUCCUUCCACCCAAAGGAGCCAUGGGAAGCCACUCUCUACAAUUUGCAGCAAACAUGGAAGCACCAGAAUCCUGCACGUAUGCUCGGAGGAAACGCACAGAGGACAAAUGCAGGGUCGCAGGAUACAAGAAUGGCAAAGGCUGACUCCAGAGAACGUUGUUAAGCUUCAAAUCUAUACUGUGCAUUGGAAG